UUACAUUUUAUUUAUUAUUAUUUCCUAAGUGGGCCGAUCAGUAGAGGGCACCAAAUUGGAUUCUAAAUUACAUUGCAUCAAAUGUUUUAAUUCUUAGGGCACAAGUCCCCCCCAAAAAAGGGGAUAGUUAAAUAAGUGUAUUAGAAUUGAGAAAUCUCAUUUUCCCUUGUUCCUGGACUCUUGACUUUUCUCCCAAAAGAAAACAGAACCAUCAUCUUCCUUUUUCAAGUUGAAUUCGUAGAGAAAUCUCAAGCAGAAGCUGCACUACUUUAAAAGAAAAGGUGAAUUUCUUCGAUUCUCUAUUUUCCUACAAGUAUAGCAUGAAGAAAAUUUAUGUUUUAAAAUCUAGGGUUUUCGAAAAAUUUGGGGAUUUAAUGUUAGAGUUGAAGUAUGGUAUAAAUAUUGAGAUAUAUUAUGUUUUUGAUGUUCCUAAGCCGGAUUAUGGUGAUUAAUUGUGUUAAUUGUUACUUAAUUUUGAUUUUACGCAAGUUAGUAUAAAUCCUAGGUUUGAGUUCGAAAAUUUUGAUUAUGUUCUUGAGUAAUUGAGUUCAUAUAUGUGUUCUUGAGCUGGAACUAUGUCAUAUAUGAGUAUAUUAUGAGUUUACACCACAUAGUUUGGGAGAUUGAUUUUGUUAGUUUAGUGAAAAUUAGGGCUUUCAGUUAAGAAGGUUCACAUGCUAUUGUUUGAUGGAGAUAUGUAUAUUAUGAUGUGAUUUUAUUAAUUAUUAAGGUUAGAAUAGCCCUACUACCCAAUUCUUUUGUAAAGUUCUAUUGUAUAAACAGUAGGGAAGUGAUAAAGUUGCUAGUUUUAUGCAUAUAGUUGAGAUUAGUAGCAUUGAUUGAGUUUAAUUUUAGCUCAUUGAGGUUUCUUUUUAAAGAGAUUGAGAUGAUUAAUAAUGUUAGUUUAUUAAACUAUAUAUGCGUAUUUAUUGAGAAUUGAUGAACAUCUCUUAACUCAUUCUUUUAUUUUUCUCAUUGAGUUAAGAGGAGUAAAUGGUGUUAUUGUAUUGAUGAUAUGAUGUGAGGAAAUGUUAGGAUAAUAAGUGAAUAGCAAAUAUGAGUUAUUGUUGUAAUAUUAUAUAUAUAUAUAUAUUUCCUUACUUAUUUUUCUUACAAAAAAAAUCUUUAUCUAUUUAAAGGUUCCGGCUAGGAACGAGCCUGACACUAGAGUACGAAGUAAGAGAAACAUAUCAGGUGGGCUUACUAACUCAAGAAACAAAGAUGCAUACUUUAUUAUAUAAAGUUUAAGUGUAUGCAUUUAUUUUCAAAUUGUUGACUUGCCAAUAUUUUAGAUUUGUAUGAUACCAUCUACAUAGAAGAACGAAUUCGGGUCCUGAGCGAGUCAGGAUUUGUGUACACAGAGUGACGGUUAACCUUGAGUUAACUUGUCGUUACGUUUGGGAAGGAGGCCUACUUCUCAACGUGUUUAUAGAGAUUAGUAGAUAUGGUACAUACUUGUAUGAGAACUUAGUCUGCGCAGACACUUUCAAUUACUAUGUAAAAACAGUUUAGCAAACACAGGUUGCUUUAGAAAUCACUUGUGUAUUGCUUAAAGUGGCAAGUUCAAUAUAUAGCAUUAUCAUGCAGAGUUUCAAAUGUUUUCGGCACAUGUUCACUGAGUGCUUUUGGUACUCAGCCCUGCAUAUCUUUCUAAAUGUGCAG
rnacentral:lncRNA from 1 species